UGAUCCUGGCUCAGAACGAACGCUGGCGGCAGGCUUAACACAUGCAAGUCGAACGAGAACUUAGAGCUUGCUCUAAGGGACAGUGGCAGACGGGUGAGUAACGCGUGGCAACCUACCUUUUUCUACGGAACAACAGUUAGAAAUGACUGCUAAUACCGUAUACGCCCUUUGGGGGAAAGAAUUUCGGUGAAAGAUGGGGCCGCGUUAGAUUAGCUAGUUGGUGAGGUAAUGGCUCACCAAGGCGACGAUCUAUAGCUGGUCUGAGAGGAUGAUCAGCCACACUGGGACUGAGACACGGCCCAGACUCCUACGGGAGGCAGCAGUGGGGAAUAUUGGACAAUGGGCGCAAGCCUGAUCCAGCCAUGCCGCGUGAAUGAUGAAGGCCUUAGGGUUGUAAAAUUCUUUCGCUAGGGAUGAUAAUGACAGUACCUAGUAAAGAAGCCCCGGCUAACUCCGUGCCAGCAGCCGCGGUAAUACGGAGGGGGCUAGCGUUGUUCGGAAUUACUGGGCGUAAAGCGUGCGUAGGCGGACUAGAAAGUUAGAUGUGAAAUCCCAGGGCUCAACCCUGGAACUGCAUUUAAAACUCCUAGUCUAGAGUUCUGGAGAGGUAAGGGGAAUUCCUAGCGUAGAGGUGAAAUUCGUAGAUAUUAGGAGGAACACCAGAGGCGAAGGCGCCUUACUGGACAGAUACUGACGCUGAGGCACGAAAGUGUGGGUAGCAAACAGGAUUAGAUACCCUGGUAGU
rnacentral:rRNA from 1 species